UGUCGAAGGUCACAGAAGGGAGGUGUAAACUCUAUGAAUUGAAACCCCUCUAACAAUUGAACAAAUGCCUUCGCAAAUCCAUUUUCCGAAUCGUAGGAUGCCCAAGUACUCCAUUUUUGGAGCGUCUUGAACCCUCGGCUACAUUUUC